rnacentral:rRNA from 1 species
GGGUUUAGCUUCGUAGUGACCUGCGGAGGAUCAUUACCGAGUGAGGGCCCUCUGGGUCCAACCUCCCACCCGUGUCUAUCGUACCUUGUUGCUUCGGCGGGCCCGCCGUUUCGACGGCCGCCGGGGAGGCCUUGCGCCCCCGGGCCCGCGCCCGCCGAAGACCCCAACAUGAACGCUGUUCUGAAAGUAUGCAGUCUGAGUUGAUUAUCGUAAUCAGUUAAAACUUUCAACAACGGAUCUCUUGGUUCCGGCAUCGAUGAAGAACGCAGCGAAAUGCGAUAAGUAAUGUGAAUUGAGAAUUCAGUGAAUCAUCGAGUCUUUGAACGCACAUUGCGCCCCCUGGUAUUCCGGGGGGCAUGCCUGUCCGAGCGUCAUUGCUGCCCUCAAGCACGGCUUGUGUGUUGGGCCCCCGUCCCCCUCUCCCGGGGGACGGGCCCGAAAGGCAGCGGCGGCACCGCGUCCGGUCCUCGAGCGUAUGGGGCUUUGUCACCUGCUCUGUAGGCCCGGCCGGCGCCAGCCGACACCCAACUUUAUUUUUCUAAGGUUGACCUCGGAUCAGGUAGGGAUACCCGCUGAACUUAAGCAUAUCAAUAAGCGGGGAGAAAA